rnacentral:rRNA from 1 species
CCUACGGGCGGCAGCAGUGAGGAAUAUUGGUCAAUGGACGGAAGUCUGAACCAGCCAAGUAGCGUGCAGGACGACUGCCCUAUGGGUUGUAAACUUCUUUUAUAUGGGAGUAAAAUGUUCCACGAGUGGGGUUUUGUAUGUACCGUACGAAUAAGGAUCGGCUAACUCCGUGCCAGCAGCCGCGGUAAUACGGAGGAUCCGAGCGUUAUCCGGAUUCAUUGGGUUUAAAGGGAGCGUAGGUGGUUUGUUAAGUCAGCUGUGAAAGUCCGAGGCUCAACAGUAGAACUGCAGUUGAUACUGUAAGACUAGAGUACAGUAGAGGUGGGCGGAAUGUGUGGUGUAGCGGUGAAAUGCAUAGAUAUUACGAAGAACUCCGAUUGCGAAGGCAGCUCGCUGGACUGCAACUGACACUGAGGCACGAAAGUGUGGGGAUCGAACAGGAUUAGAUACCCGUGUAGUC